rnacentral:rRNA from 1 species
GAUGAACGCUGGCGGCGUGCCUAAUACAUGCAAGUCGAGCGAACAGACGAGGAGCUUGCUCCUCUGACGUUAGCGGCGGACGGGUGAGUAACACGUGGAUAACCUACCUAUAAGACUGGGAUAACUUCGGGAAACCGGAGCUAAUACCGGAUAAUAUAUUGAACCGCAUGGUUCAAUAGUGAAAGACGGUUUUGCUGUCACUUAUAGAUGGAUCCGCGCCGCAUUAGCUAGUUGGUAAGGUAACGGCUUACCAAGGCGACGAUGCGUAGCCGACCUGAGAGGGGGAUCGGCGACACUGGAAGUGAGACACGGUCCAGACUCCUACGGGAGGCAGCAGUGGGGAAUCGUCCGCAAUGGGGGAAAGCCUGACGGAGCAACGCCACGUGAGUGAUGAAGGUCUUCGGAUCGUAAAACUCUGUUAUUAGGGAAGAACAAAUGUGUAAGUAACUAUGCACGUCUUGACGGUACCUAGUCAGAAAGCAACGGCUAACUACGUG